rnacentral:rRNA from 1 species
CUUCAAUUAUUUCACUUGAACUUUGGCACUAUCACACUGCUUCCGAAGAAGACGGAUGCUGUGAGAAUUGAGCAGUUCAGACCGAUCUGCCUUCUCAAUGUUAGUUUUAAAAUCUUCACCAAGGUCGGGACUAAUAGGCUCACACAGAUUGCGCAUUCUGUGGUGCAGCAGUCCCAAACCGCUUUCAUGCCAGACCGCAACAUCCUUGAAGGGGUGGUCGUUCUUCAUGAAACACUCCAUGAAAUCCAUUCCAAGAAGUUAGAUGGUGUCAUUUUCAAGGUGGAUUUCGAGAAAGCGUACGAUAAGGUUAAAUGGCCCUUUCUCCAAUAG